UGACUCAUGAGCUGAUGAUAACCAGAGUCAUUCACAACUACAUGAGCCUUGGCCAAUAGCCAAAUUGUGCUGUCAACACCAUCAAUUGCAGGCAACACAACUUUGCUCACAGGACCCAAAUUAUCUCCACCUGGAUGUGGCUUGCUUAAUUCGAUAGCAAGUGGCUUCAAAGUGCCAUCAUCUUUCAAGAAGAAGAUUGUUCUGGUGGCGUAAGCUCUUGCAACAGGUAGGCUGUUUAUCCUCGUCAAAUACGGAAAGAAUGCAUCUUGAUAAUCUAAUAUGAAUAAUCUCUUUGCGCUAAGUGCCUGUGUUCCAGAGUUUAAUUUCAGUGAUCUUUCUUUCAUAACUUCAAAUUACAAAUCUAAUAUGGCUUCAAGUGCUUAUACUAAAAAGAAAUUAUAAAAGAAUAUGUAACAAAAGUUAUGCUAAGUACAAAAUUACCUCAUCUACUGUGACCCCAUCCGUGUUAAUCUCCAACUGUUCUCUUGUUAUGGUACUGGUUUGAUCACCAUAGAGAGAGGGAUCAAGAGAACUUUUUGGUGGGAAUUCCUGCCAUUAUUAAAAGAUGUCACAAAUAACAAGAGAAACACAUUAACAUCUUAACUUUGUCAUCAAAGUUGACCGUUUUAGAGACUUAAUAUCAAGAGUAUAGACAUACCUGAAGAAGACGAAAUACAUUUGGAUUGACACCAGCAAUCACUUCUCUUGCAAACUCUUCAUCUGUGUUCCAUUCAGACCUUUUAACUGCAGAAAUUAAAAAGGAAAAAGUUGAGUAACCAAGUUAAUAAUUCAAUUAAAAAAUGCUAAUAUAUUGAAGUUGUUUUGAUGAAGUACCUUGGAUAACAUGAGGCAAUGGAAAUUGAAGGACAUUUUCACCAUCACUGCGGAAGAGUUCCUUGAGGGCAGGUACAGGGCUAAUUUGGCUCAAAAAAUCUGUUGGCAGCUUAAUUCCACCCUCAUAGAGACUACGCACAUCAUCGAAGUUCUUAAACUCACUUGAUGUGAUCCUUAAGUCAAAAAUUGCAGAUUUUAACAGGGGCAACACGUCCUGAGAUAAAGAUUUUAUUCCAUACAUGAUGAAAUCUGAUGACUUCAAGUGACCAAAAUUUUCAUCUCUUGGAACAUAAAUCGCGCCUGGUUUCUCACUGUUGGGAUCUGUUAUAAACCAACCAAAUACAGCAUUAAAUCCUUGUUUUUCAAUCAUAUAUAUUAUCAAAUUUUACAACUUUUUUCACUUAUAUAGCCUAUAUAUUCACGUUGACCUCUCUACAUUGUUUGCUGCUGUGCAAAACAUUACCAAAUCUGGAAGUAUUUCUAGGAUCAUUUCAAGUUCUUUCAGUAUAGUGUAUUUAGAAAGAAAACAUGUUAAAAAUUCUUGGAUGGGUUAAACAACUUCACCAUAGUUAUACCAUUGAAACUAUAUGCUCAUAUAAUAUAUAUAUUAAUUUUAUAUCAUGAUCAAUGUCAGAAACAAAAUAAUUGAAUAUAAUUAAACAGAAAAAGUCUAACCUGUCCUGGUUCGGUCUCUACCAGUUCUAACCCUGCGAGGGUAAGGAUAGAUGAUAGAUCCUCCAAGGAUUGGGCGAGGAUCACCACCAUCUGGGUUUCCAAGGUCAUUGUACACGUCAUAGUCAUAGAUUCUAUCUUGUUCCUGGCGUUUACCAGUUCCAUCUCCUCUAAGAGUCUCCAAUUCUUCUUGUCUGUAUUUGAGAAGUGGAGCUGGUGUUGCACUUGGAAGAUAUGUCUGAAAUAUAUUCAUGAAUUAGUUUUCUGACCACUAAUAGAAUGAAAACAAAAACGAUCAGGACUUGGAAAAUAAAAUCUGGGCAUAAAAAAAAUAGAAGCUUACAUCAUUCACAAAGAAAAUACGAUCUUUCUGGUAUUUGUUGAAGUUGUAAAUCCAGGAGUUACAAACAAAGUGAAUGGUUCCAUGGUUUGGAAUGUCCUCAAGAAGAACACUGACGAGGAAAAACUCAUCAGUUGUAUAGUUUUGGAUGUAAAAUGCCCCUGGAAUUCCAAAUUUAGCAUCCCAAUCAAAGGAAACACGGAAUGCUAGCUGCUGAGCUCCCAACGUUGGAAAGGUCGGAAGAUGUUUUUCCACAAAUGCUUUGCUUCCAACUUUUCCUUUUCCACUAGCUGCAAACAAACAUACAGAUAAAAUUGAAAUAAUAAUAACAAACUAAAGAUGAGUAUUUUAGAUUACGAUUGAACAAUAAUGUUAAAAAAAGGUGAUGCUUUGCAUGAAUAUUUCACACAAAUAAUUCACGAAUACAUAGCUGUCUCUGAAAUAAACAAAAAAACUACGUUAGCCACUUGCAAGAUAUACGUAUGUCGGAAUAUAAAACCGUGAAUUAGUUCUUACAAUGAAGUUUGUCUCUCUUUCAUCUUUUUGCAUCACUGUAAAGUUAACUUCACCAUUCAAGUUUACUAAAAGAGUUUUUAACUUAUCCAAUAAAAACAUAUGAUCAAACUUAUAAUAAUAGUAUAAGUGUACGACAAUUAUUUAAUUAAACUUCAUAUUCAAUCUAAACAAUGACUCGUUGCAUUAUUGAGAUUCAGUCCAGAAACGACAAAACAAUAUAGUAUUUUAAGAGUGGCUAUAGAGCUGGAUGAGAUAUGUUCAUACAUCAGAGAUAUUAAUUAAUAAGAGUUUCAUUUAGGUACUGCAAUUUUAGUAUAAUAACAAUUAAUUAGCAACCAGUUGAAGUCUAAUCUGUGAAAUAAUUUAUGACAGAAAAUAGUGUGGCUGGUAAGAUGAGAACAAACCAUCAGCUUGAGUAGCACUGAUCAACUGCAAGGAAAUAUUUUUGCCUGCGAAGGCAGUUGCAGCAUCAACCAAACUACCAGCUACGUUAACGACAGUGCCAAGGAUAUCUUUGGUAGUUUCAAUAACACCGUCUUUACCAAUGGAAGUUAAAGCGUUGAAGUCCAACACGUUCUUGGGCAUCAACACCACAGUGCCCUUUAUCUUCUGACCAUUGUCAAAGAGGCCACCUAUGAGACGUGACAUCUUAAUUUGCUACUGUAUCAGCACUGUAUAGUGUUGUUAUUCUUUCUGCAGAGGAAGAAGGAGAGAAGAUUGAAGCUUAGUUGUGUGUUGUGAAGAGGCAAAGAAAUGCUAUUUAUAGAGAGGACGUGAGAAGAGAGAAGCAUAGCUCCAUUACAGUGAGGUUUGCAGGCUGAUUUUUCUAUGGCCACCAACUCCAUAUGCAACACGUUAUCCACAUUUCAUUGCAUAUUUUUUUUCUUCCUUCUUAUGUAUUCAAAUUUAAUAUUCUUGAUGCCAUUCAAUUGAUUUUCUUAUUACAAUCUUUUUGUUUGAGUUUUGGACGUUCCUAGCUGUCCUUUUCUUUUUAUUAUGCAAAUGAUCUAUUACAAUCAAGAGUAGAAAAAAGAAUGGUUUAUUUCAAGAAAGAAAAUCGUGUGAUCGUUAUUUAUACUUUUUUAAACUGUCCUCUGAUAUAAACAAAUAUUUUUACAAUUACAAUACUUAUUCUUUUGGGAUUGGAAGCCAUGUUGUAUAUGUGAAAAAUACUGAACUUUUAUUACUUUUUAGAUGAGAAUUCCGUAUUGAAAAAAAAGAUAAUCUUGAAAAUUAUAUUUGUUAUACAAGUAACCCAUCUAGAAUGUGUAUGGUGUUUGCUCUUAAUUAUUGCACAUGUUAGCAUAUUUAUUAUUGUAAGUGUGUUGUUUUGUGAUUUUUAUAUUAUUAGAAAAAUUUGUACACUUUGUUUUUUUUAUCUUUUGUUUGUGAUGAGUGAUUGGAAGAACAUGGUUCUUUGAGAAUAAGUCUCAACCAAAAAUUACAUAAUUGAAAGACUUGGCUCUCUACAAAGAUGGUGGUAAAGAAAGUCUCUUUUGAUUUUAGUACAAAGAACUAAUUGAAACUUCUCAACUUUAUUACUGAUAAACAUAAGAUGAACUAGAUAGGAAAUGACAGUGAAAACAAACUUAUAACAUACUCAAAUUGAACGAGAGCAGCAUACUGCAUACACACUGAGACAACGAUUUCACACAGACUUUUGUUGUUUCUUACUCAAAAGCAUAAUAUGGAUAAGGAAAACACAUCCGUUUCAGAUAGAGAUACUGUUUGGAAUUCCUCUGAAAGUCAUUCCUUCCUCACUUGAACGAAGGAGUAAGGUGUAUGGCAACUGAACUGGCCCAUGACGGCUUCUCAGACUUGGAUCAUUGUUCCUUGCUGUGAUCUUUCCUUCAAUUUCUGUCAGUUUGCUUCCAAACUUUUUGAAAGCUUCUAGUGCCUUUGAAUCAGUUGUCCAAUAUGGACUAUCUCUCUCCCCAAGAUAGAUCUCAUCAGAGGCAUGCCUUGACAAUAUCUCUAACACUGAAAUGUCAACAAGGCUCUCGAACUUAGGUGUGAUUGUGUUCAAAUACGCCUUUUGAGGAUUCUUCACCAUCUCAUCAUAUUCUUUGGUUCCUGGUUCAGGGAUAAAUCUUCUAGUCAGAGUUGGACGGUUCACGAUGUAACCUCCAUAAGGAUAUUGUCCAUAAUUAACAGCUGCAUGAAGAGCAGAAGCUGUCCAUAUGAUGAUAGAGCAAGAUUUAAUGAGAUCUUCAGUCGUAUGCAUUUUAGGCCACCAAGGCUUAUCUUUUAAGUCACCAUGACCCUUUUCCACAACUUCCUUCCACCAUGCUUGUAGUUCAGUAUCUUGUUUUAUUGCUUCAUCUGUUGGGUAAUACAAGGAGACAUAAUCUUGGACCCAUGCCUUAAUAGCAUCCCAUAUUUCAAGUCCAUCAACAGCAUAAGGGUAGUCCUUUAUCAGAAGACGAAGGCCAUGAGGAGCAGAGGGGUCUUCAACUGCUAAUCCCCUGAGUCAAGCAACAAUAUAACAUCUUAUUGACAAAUUCAACUAGCCUCACUCCGUUUCUAUUAUCAUUAAGGGAAAUUUUUUGUUUUCAUAGUUCCAUAACUGAAAUAAUUCAUGUUUCUAUUGACAAACACAUAUUUAAAAGGUGAUAAUUAAUAGUUCAUGCAAUCACAAAGUCAUCUAAUCACCCGUGACAGCAAAGCUUCUCUCUUACAUUAACAAUACGUAAAAAUUAAACCCUAUCUUGAAUUACUAAUUAGUAAAUAAAACUUCAUAUAUCUUUAUUUUAGUGAAGUAUAUUUUAUGAAUAUCACCUCUUGACAAGAUCAGCUGGUAAUGCUUGGUCAGUAAAAACCCAAUUCUUGUAAACAGUUGAGGAAAUCUCCAUAGAGUACUUUCCAGGCAAAAAUGCUUGCUCAAUAAAACCAUCUGCAUUGAUCAGGGAUUGCCUAGCAAGACCGUUGAUAUUUAUGGUAUCACGGUAGUGAGGAUAAAGAAGUUUAUAAAUGGGGUGAAGCACACUGAGAUUCCUGUUUGUUGCUAUGGCAAAUGGCUCUACCACAGCAUGAGUAUUUAACCUGUUAACCCAAGAAGAAAAAUAUCAGCAAUAAAUUCAUAUGCACAUACACUAUACAGUACACAUGGACUAAAUAUUGCAAAGGAAGUUCUCACCAAUGACUUAUGAGCUGAUGAUAGCCACAAUCAUUCACAACUACAUGAGCUUUGGCCAACAGCCAAAUUGUACUUUCAACACCUUCUGUUGCAGGCAGCACGACUUUACUCACGGCACCUAAGUUGUCUCCACCAGGAUGUGUCUUGCUUAAUUCGAUAACAAGAGGCUUUAAAGAUCCAUCAUCUUUCAAGAAUAGGAUUGUCCUUGUGGCAUAAGCUUUUGAUGUUGGUAGGUUGUUUAUCCUCGUCAAAUAAGGGAUGAAUGCAUCAUGGUGAUCUAGUAUGAAUAAUCUGUCUUUACCAAGUGCCUGUUCCAGAAAUUUUUAUUUCAGUGACUCAAUUUCUUAACUUCAAUUUACAAAUCCAAGUAGAGCAAUUAAAUAUUGACUCUUUUACAUGUUAAUCGAGUGUAUUUUGUUUUUAAUUUGCAUCAGAAGGAUUACUGAAAAGGAAAUUAUAAGAGAAUUUAGCAAAAGUCAUGCCAGAUAGAAGUCGAAUGAUGAUGUUUUUUUAUUGUGAAAAAUGCAUAUCAUUACCUCUUCUACUGUGACCCCAUCCAUGUUAAUCUCCAACUGUUCUUUUGUUAUGGUACUAGUUUGAUCACCAUAGAUUGUGGGAUCAAGUGAGCUUUUUGGUGGAAAUUCCUGCCAUUAGUAAACAAUGAUGUGAGGAAGGAUGACAGAUAUACGUAUAUAAUGAAUUUAAUAACAAAACAUUUGAACUUACUUGCAGACGACGAAUUACAUUUGGAUUUACACCAGCAAUGGUCUCUCUUGCAAAUUCUUCAUCAGUCAUCCAUGCUGACUUGCUAACUGUCCAAAGCAUAAAAUAUGUACUUGUCAAAUUAUCAAUUCAACAAACGCUAACAUGAUUAAGUUGUUUUGAUCAAGAUGUAUAAUCGAAGGUACCUCUGAUUACAUGAGGUGGUGGAAAUUGAAGGACAUUUUCACCGUCAGUACGGAAGAUUUCCUUGAGGGCUGGUAAGGGACUGAUUUGGCUGAGUAUAUCUGUUGGCAGCUUAAGUCCACCCUCAUAGAGACUACGCACAUCAUCGAAGCUAUCAAACUCACUUGAUGUAACCCUCAAGUCAAAAAUUGCAGAUUUUAACAAAGGAAACACAUUCUGAGAUAGGGAUUUGAGUCCAUAUAUAAGAAAAUCCGAUGACUUCAAGUGACCGAAAUUCUCAUCUCUUGGGACAUAAAUCUCACCCGGUUUCUCACUGUUGGGGUCUGUUACAAAAUAACCCAGAGUGAAAGAAUUAUCAACAAACGCAUAAAUUUGUAUACCAAGAUCAACAUAAUAAUAAAGUUUACAUCUUUAUCCACCAAUGAAACCAUAUAUGCCCUUGUGUUUAGUUUCACUAUAAAGAAAAAUCUUACCUUUUUUGGUCUUGUCUCUACCAGAUCUAACCCUGCGAGGGUAUGGAUAGUUGCUAGAGCCUCCAAGGAUUGGGCGAGGCUCACCACCAUCUGGGUUUCCAAUGUCAUUAUACACGUCAUAGUCAUAGAUUCUAUCUUCUUCCUUGCGUUUUCCAGUUCCAUCUCCUCUAAGAGUCUCCAAUUCUUCUUGUCUGUACUUCAGCAAUGGAGCUGGUGUUGCACUUGGAACAUAUGUCUGUCAUAUAUUUCACCAAUUUUGUCAUUCAAAGAAUUACAAACAAAACCCAUUUGUCUUUGUUUGAAAAAUUAGUUGGGUGAACUUUUGUACACAUUAGAAAAGCAGAACUUACAUUGUUGACAAAGAAAAUACGAUCUUUUUUGUAUUUUUUGAAGUUAUAAACCCAGGAGUUACAGACAAAGUGAAUGCUUCCAUGGUUUGGAAUGUCUUCAAGAGUCACACUAACAAGGAAAAACUCAUCAGUCUUGAAGUUUUUUAUGUAAAAUGCUCCUGGAAUUCCAAAGUCGGAAUCCCAUUCAAAAUAAAUACUGAAUGCCUCUUGUCUUGCUCCCAAAGUGGGUAGUGUUGGAAGAUGACUGUUCAGAUAUGUUUCCUCUCCAACUUUCCCUUUCCCACCUACAUAGUUAAACUCCAUAAAUAGUUAAAAAAACAAGGGCACGUCACCCAACAAUAAUUUCAAAUGCUAUAUAUGUAUUUUUUUAAAUAUAAAUAUAUAUUCAAUUUAUAAUAUGUUUAUACAAUAUAAAUACAAAAAAAAAAUAUUAUCUUAUAUCUAUUUACGUGUAAAUGUAAAUAAUUAAAGAAUUUUUUUUGAAUAAUGAUUUAUGAAAUGUACUAUUGUCACAAAUAAAUAAUUUUAUAUGUACAAAGAAUAUUAUUAAAUGUUAAUUAAAUAUUGAAUAAGAUUAAAAUUAAUAAUCUUAUUAUUCUCAAAAUUAUUACAACCAUAAUAUUAUAUAGAUUUUUCUUUCAUAACUUUUUUAUUUUACUUUUCCUCUUUUGUCCUGUUUUUAUGCAGUGAGGUAAUUAUUUGACUUAUAUUUAUUACAUUAGUUAUUUUCUAUAAUUACACCUGUUUGAUGGUAGUUCUGUUUUAUUGUGUUAAUAAUAAUUUGAAGAAAUGAAAAGAGAUUGAACGAACCAUGAGUCUGAGUAGCACUGAUCAACUGCAUGGAAACGUUACGCCCUAAGAAGGCGGUGGCAGCGUCGAUUACUCCGCCGGCUACAUUGGCGACGCCGCCCAAGAUACCGCCGACGGCGCCAACAGCGCCGCCGACAACGCCGCCAAUACUGUUAGGAACGGAGACGGAGGAGAUGGCGUUGAAGUCCAAGACAUUCUUGGGCAUCAACACCACAGUCCCCUUUAUCUUCUGUGUCCUUUUGCCGAUCCCAAACAUUUUUCCUCCUUCUGUUUACACACACUCAACACUAUUGUUCUUAUCCUUUUCAGAAGAAGAAGAAGAAGCUUGUGUGGUGAAACACUGCAUAGAAGGUACUUAUAGUGGCAGAAUUCAUGGCAUACCUACCUGCAUAUCUAACACGUGCUAUAUAACAUUGCAUAAUGAUGUUCCAGUCCAAUCAAACUCCACAAAUUUCAACAUUGAGUAAGAAAAAAUGAUUCAAAAGUUUAUAUAUAUACAAAUACCUCUAAUAAAAAAAAUAUUUUGAAUAACUAUAAAAAACAUAAAUAUCUCCAAUAAAAAAAGGUUAAAUAUCUUUUUUUUCCCAUUGGUUAAGAAUAUUCAAAUUGGUCCUCAUUUUAUUUUUCUGUUCACUAUAGUCCUAAAGAACGUAAUAUUAUGUUCAAUUUAGUCAUUUUUAUGUUCCAUGUAGUCCUAAAGAACGUAAUUUGUGUUCAAUUUAGUCCUUGUUUGUAGUUCACGGAAUUUGUAAAAAGGAUUAAAUUGAACACAAAUUACAUUCUUUAGGACUACAUUGAACAGAAAAAAGACUAAAUUGAACAUAAUUACGUUUUUUAGGACUAUAUUGAACAGAAAAAUAAAAUGGAGACCAUUUUGAAUAUUUGUAACCAAAACUAGGACCAAAAAAUGUAUUUUACCUAAAAAAAAAGUAUCUUGAAUAAGUAUAAAAAACAAAUCAGUAAAAACUUAAUCCAAAAUGGAUAAUAUUUUUUGAUGUAUAGAGAUCUAUGUGUGUCCAACCUACCUACAAUGACGAUAGAACAAUCAUUUACAUUCAUUUUACAUAUUAUAAAAUAAUUUAAAAAAGUAAACUUUUUGUAAUUUUUUUUAAAUAAAAAAUAAAAAGUAAGAAAACAUUAUACUAUCAUUUCUCUUCAUUGUUUUGUCAAUUUCUUAGGAUCAACAUUAUCCACUCAUAUCUCUUCUGUGUUCUGGUUUGUUAUAUUAAUUAGUGGUCGUAAAAAUUAUUUCAAAUAUUUCAUAAUACAGAGAAUUUUUGUAAUACAGGCAGAUUUUUUUCUUAAUAUUUCAUAAUUUAUUUAUAUUAGCCAUAGAAUGGUCCAGUUCUACUUUUCAUGCUUUUGUUUUUAUAUCAUUGGACCACCUGCGUAUGCUUAUUCGUUCGCCUUGUGGAUGAGAUAUGCAUUAAAUCUAUUAAUGAUUGAUUUUAUAUCAUUGCCUUUUCUCUUCUAUCUUUCUAAGAUUUAGGAGUUAAUUUUUAUCAUCUUAUUGAUCAAGGUAUUAGUGAGACUACGACAAAGUGAAAAUGAAUUCUGACUCUUAAAAAAAUUCAAUUAAACUAAGAUUUUAUUUUCCCUCUACUUAAAAAAAAUUGAUAAACUACAUUUGUAUGUGAAAGUAAAAUAAAUUUGUACAUUAAAGUUUAAUGUUUCAAUAGGAAAUUUAACAUUGUGGGGUUUUGAUUGAGAUCGAAGACAUACAUUCCUUUUGAAAUUCUUCUUGGAACUUGAAAUAAUAGAGUGAGAAUCAUCAAAUUGAUUUAUGUUAGUUAUAAUAUAGAGUAUAUGUAAUAUAUUUGUUCUUUUAUACAUUUGAAAUUGGGUUGGACAAUUAUAUUUAUUUUUGUUCCAUCGAUUUAUGUUUAGAUUAUGAUUAGAUAUUGUUGAAUUUAUAUAUUGGGUUUUGAAUGGUAAUUUUGAGCUGAAAUGAUUCAAAUAUAAAAUUGAUGUAAUAAAUAGGUUGGUGUGUUUUGAUUAAGAGUGUCAAAUGGAUUGAUUUACCAAUGCACUAAAAGUAAAUUAGUUUAAGUCAACAAUUUUAUAAUAUGACUUAAUUCUCAUAAAUUGAUUAAUGAAUUUACUCACUUAAAAAUAUUUUAUAUAUUUUUAAUUUAUUUUAUAUAUAUAUAUAUAUGCUAGAAAUAGGAUCGUCCAAUUCUCCUUUUUCGUGGCUUGUUUUCAUAUCAUUGGACUAUAUAUAGGAGAUGCAAUAAAUCACUGAAUAAUUGGUUUGAAAUUUUUUUGAAGGGUUCAGAAUUUAUUUUUAUAUUUAAAAUUGAAAAAAAAAAUAUCAUUCGUAGCUUCUUAAUAUCUCCAUAAAUUAAUAUUAUUAAUUCUCUCAAAAGAUACAGGAAUUUAAUUAGGGGAACGUGGAAUUAUGGACUUACGGGUGUCAAUUCGUUAAUAUAUCGUAAAUCUUAACUCAUUUAAAUAAGUCUCUUUUGAGGAUUUUAAGCAACGGGAUAAAGAAAACUUUCAAGUUUAGAAAGUCUCUCUUUCAAAUAGAUUAUGGUUAGGACUAAAAUAUGUUUGGUGCAAUGAAAAAUUUAAUUAAAUACGCCAGUUGCAAUUUGUUGGAAUUUGAACCAUGUUUCCAAGACUAAUGCCGGGUGGUUUAGAUUGAAAAUUUAGAUGAGUGGAUUUAGUUUUGAGGUUUAUAUGAGUUGAUCGAGUUUGAAGGUUAUGGACUAGUUAAGGUUAAUUCAAAUCAAAAGUUAAAAUAAACUAGUUUGGGUGGUUGAUUGAACCAAGUUAAUAAUCGAGAUGGGUCAAUCAAGUUGAAGGUUGUGAUGAGUCAAUCUAGAUUGAAGGUUGAGACGAACUGACAUGUAUUGGAAGUCAAGACACACUAUGAUCGCUUGACAACAACUAAAAUUUUAUCAAAUUCAACAAAUUUGGUUGAACUUGGCCCAAUCUUCCUUGACCAAAAUUUGACCAUAUUUGACAAAGUCGAGCCAAGCUGAAAUUUGUCUAAAUUUGACUUAUUUAGACCUUGUUGAAAUACACCCAAAUUUAAUAGUAUUGACUUGGUCAAAAUUUGGCCGAAUUCGACCAAGACGAUUAUGACCAAAAUUUAGUUGAAUUCGGUCGAGUUGGUCCAAGCCAAAAUUAGGUCAAAAUUGAUCGAGAUUACCUAGGUUGACAUUUUUUUGAAUUUUAUAUAAUUGACCAUGAUCGUAAUUUGGCUAAAUUCGACUAAGUCGUCCCGAUCGAAAUUUCGUCAUGUUAACCUUAGCAUAAUUUUGUCCGAAUUUGACUCAAUCAGUUUUGUUCGAAUUCUAUGGAAUCAACCACAACUAAAUUUUGGUCGAAUUCAACUGAGUCAACCAUAAUUGGGAUAAGGUCAAGUCGGUAACAAUAAAUAGCGAAUUCCAACCACAUAUGGUCAUUUACAAAAACGAAGCUGAUGACACUAAAGAAAAACUUAAACAAAGACGAUCAGAUUCGUUUAAAGUAUUCAAAAAAAGGGGUGGAAAGCAGAUAGAAGGUGCGAUGCAAGAGUCUGCAAAAUCAAAUAUGAGUAAAAGUGGGUGUAUGGAUGGGUGGAGUUAAUUAUAAGAGAGAAAAAGUUUUUUACCCUUAUCAGAAAGGUACUUUUCUUAAUUUAGAAUUUGGAGGUGUAGAAAGAAAAGUUGAAGGUACAAGGAGAAGCAUCCGUGGAGAGAUAGCAUGUAAUCUGUAACCCAACUUUAGAAAACUAAAUUGAAAAACGGAUAGCCCAAAAGAAAAACGGGCUUAACGAGAGUGUUAUCAUUAUAUAUUAUUAUUAUUUUAAUAUGAAUUUCUUAAACAUAUUUAGUCAAUUUUUUAUUUAGUUAUAAAUUAGCAUUUUAGUUUGUGCAAGGAAGAUAAAUGUUUUAUCAUAUAUAACAAAAAGUACGAUAUAUAUAUAUAUAUAUAUAUAUAUAUAUAUAUAUAUAUAUAUAUAUAUCCAUCAAAUAUCUUACUUAAACAAGUUUUAUAUUUUAUAUUGCUUUAACAUCAUUUCAAGAAAUAAAUUUAUGUUUAACUAUUGAGAGACGAUAAGGACAUUUGUGAAAUGUUGUUGGUCAUUAGUAUACUUUUCAGAACUAGAAGACUUGUUGCAUCGAUUUAUCUGUUUUAUAUACACAAUGAUUGCACCAAAUCUAUCACAUUAUUUUCUGAUUAAUGUUUAAAACAAAAAACACUGUUAUUUUCUUGGUCAAUCAAAGCACACAGUUCCAAACAGAGAAUUACAAGCAUAAUAAAAAACACAACAGCAUGAUCAUUUGUGUUAUGACAAAGUGGAUACAUAAUCAUGGUAUUCAACCACACGUUGUCUAGAUAGAGAUACUGUUAGGGAUUCCUCUGAAAGUCAACCCUUCCUCGCUUGAAGGAAUGAGCAAUGUGUAUGGAAGUUCAACUGGUCCACAUCGGUUUUUCAAGGCUGAAUCGGUGUUCCUUGCUGUGAUUUUUGCUUCAAUCUCUGUCAACUUGCUUCCAAACCUUUUGAACGCUUCCAAUGCCUUAGAAUCAGAUGUCCAAUUUGGAUGAUCUCUCUUGCCAAGGUAGAUCUCAUCAGAAGCAUGCCUUGACAGUAUUUCUAUCACUGUCAGAUCAAUAAUGGCCUCACGCUUAGGUGUAAUUGUUCUCAAAUAUGCAGUGUGAGGACUCUUCAGCAUCUCAUCAUAUUCUUUGGUUCCUGGCUCAGGGAUGAAUCUUCUGCUUAAAGUUGGACGGUUCAGGAUAAAACCUCCAUAAGGAUAUUGUCCAAAAUUAACAGCUGCAUGAAGAGCUGAAGCAGUCCAAAUGAUAGUAGAACUUGAUUGAAUAAGCUCUUGACGAGUCUUCAUUUUAGGCCACCAUUGUUUAUCUUUUAAGUCUGCAUGACCCUUCUCUACAGCUUCCUUCCACCAUGCUUGAAGUUCAGUAUCUUGUUGAACUGCCACAUCUGUAGGGUAAUACAAGGACACAUACUCUUCAACCCAUAUCUUAAUAGCAUCCCAUAUUUCAAGUCCAUCAACAGCAUAAGGGUAGUCCUUUAUCACAAGACGAAGGCCAUGAGGAGCAGAAGGAUCUUCAGUAGCCAAUCCUCUACAUCAAGCAAAAAGAAAAAAAAUGUUACUACCCUCUCAGUUUUUGCCAUAAUUAAAAGGGCACAUUUUGUUUUUUAGUCCCAGUUCAUUUUUCUAUCAUUAACCAUAUUAUUAUAGUUUAGUUUAUGCAGUAAUGUGUAUUUAAGAAGAAUACCUCUUGAUGAGAUCGGCUGGCAAUGAUUGUUCAGUGAAAACCCAAUUCUUGUAAACGGCUGAAGACAUCUCCAUAGAAUACUUUCCAGGCAAAAAUGAUUGUUCUAUAAUGCCAUUUGCAUUAAUCAGGUUUUGUCUAGCAAGUGCAUUGAUAUUAAUGGUAUCACGAUAGUGAGGAUAAAGAAGCUUAUAAAUGGGGUGAAUCACACUGAGAUUCCUGUUUGUUGCUAUUGCAAAUGGCUCCAUCACUGCAUGAGUAUUUAACCUGCAACACCAAAAAGGAAGAAAAAGAAAAAAACUUAUCAAUAAUAAAUUCAUAUACGCAUAAACUAUAUAUGUGCUAAAUAUUGCUGAAGAAGUUCUUACCAAUGACUCAUGAGCUGAUGAUAACCAGAGUCAUUUACAAUUACAUAAGCCUUGGCCAACAGCCAAAUUGUGCUGUCAACACCAUCAAUCGCAGGUAACACAACUUUGCUCACAGGACCCAAAUUAUCUCCACUUGGAUGUGGCUUGCUUAAUUCGAUAGCAAGUGGCUUCAAAGUGCCAUCAUCUUUCAAGAAUAGGAUCGUUCUUGUGGCAUAAGCUUUUGCAGUAGGUAAACUGUUUAUCCUCGUCAAAUAAGGAAUGAAUGCAUCUUGGUAAUCUAAUAUGAACAAUCUCUUAGCAGCAAGUGCCUG
rnacentral:lncRNA from 1 species